UACGUAGGUGACAAGCGUUGUCCGGAUUUACUGGGCGUAAAGAGCGCGCAGGCGGUCGAUCAAGUCGAGUGUGAAAGCCCCCGGCUCAACUGGGGAGGGUCAUUCGAAACUGGUCGACUCGAAGGCAGGAGAGGGUAGUGGAAUUCCCGGUGUAGUGGUGAAAUGCGUAGAUAUCGGGAGGAACACCUGUGGCGAAAGCGGCGCACUGGACCACAACUGACGCUGAGGCGCGAAAGCUAGGGGAGCAAACAGG
rnacentral:rRNA from 1 species